GGGGAAUCUUGCACAAUGGGCGAAAGCCUGAUGCAGCGACGCCGCGUGCGGGAAGGAGGCCCUCGGGUCGUAAACCGCUUUCAGCAGGGACGAGGCCGCGAGGUGACGGUACCUGCAGAAGAAGCCCCGGCUAACUACGUGCCAGCAGCCGCGGUAAUACGUAGGGGGCGAGCGUUGUCCGGAAUUACUGGGCGUAAAGGGUGCGUAGGCGGCCAUAUAAGUCAGGUGUGAAAAACCACGGCUUAACCGAGGUAUUGCACAUGAAACUGUAUGGCUUGAGUACAGGAGAGGAAAGUGGAAUUCCUAGUGUAGCGGUGAAAUGCGUAGAGAUUAGGAAGAACACCAGUGGCGAAGGCGGCUUUCUGGACUGUAACUGACGCUGAGGCACGAAAGCGUGGGGAGCAAACA
rnacentral:rRNA from 2 species